rnacentral:misc_RNA from 1 species
UCACUAAUCAAGCCUGGCUUGCUGUUGGACCUCUUGUCGUUAAAAGACAGGUCCCAAAGAUAAUGACGGUGUUAUUAGAACCCUAGAUGCAACGAGCUUUAACUAGCACGCAUGAUAGUGGCCUUUUAACCCGGUCUUUUUUAAGCCAAUUUUUAUAA